GACGAACGCUGGCGGCGUGCCUAAUACAUGCAAGUAGAACGCACAGUUUAUACCGUAGCUUGCUACACCAUAGACUGUGAGUUGCGAACGGGUGAGUAACGCGUAGGUAACCUGCCUGGUAGCGGGGGAUAACUAUUGGAAACGAUAGCUAAUACCGCAUAAUAUUAAUUAUUGCAUGAUAAUUAAUUGAAAGGUGCAAUUGCACCACUACCAGAUGGACCUGCGUUGUAUUAGCUAGUAGGUGAGGUAACGGCUCACCUAGGCGACGAUACAUAGCCGACCUGAGAGGGUGAUCGGCCACACUGGGACUGAGACACGGCCCAGACUCCUACGGGAGGCAGCAGUAGGGAAUCUUCGGCAAUGGACGAAAGUCUGACCGAGCAACGCCGCGUGAGUGAAGAAGGUUUUCGGAUCGUAAAGCUCUGUUGUAAGAGAAGAACGGGUGUGAGAGUGGAAAGUUCACACUGUGACGGUACCUUACCAGAAAAGGACGGCUAACUACGU
rnacentral:rRNA from 1 species